GUGCUUGCUUCGGCAACAUAUAUACUAAAACUGGAACGAUACAGAGAUUAGCAUAGCCCCUGCGCAAGGAUGACACGCAAAUUCAUAAAGCAUUCCAUAUUUUU